GAUGAACGCUGGCGGCGUGCUUAACACAUGCAAGUCGAACGGAAAGGCCCAAGCUUGCUUGGGUACUCGAGUGGCGAACGGGUGAGUAACACGUGGGUGAUCUGCCCUGCACUUCGGGAUAAGCCUGGGAAACUGGGUCUAAUACCGGAUAGGACGAUGGUUUGGAUGCCAUUGUGGAAAGUUUUUUCGGUGUGGGAUGAGCUCGCGGCCUAUCAGCUUGUUGGUGGGGGAAUGGCCUACCAAGGCGUCGACGGGUAGCCGGCCUGAGAGGGGGUACGGCCACAUGGCGACUGGGAUACGGCCCAGACUCCUACGGGAGGCAGCAGUGGGGAAUAUUGCACAAUGGGCGCAAGCCUGAUGCAGCGACGCCGCGUGGGGGAUGACGGCCUUCGGGUUGUAAACUCCUUUCGCUAGGGACGAAGCGUUUUUGUGACGGUACCUGGAGAAGAAGCACCGGCUAACUACGUG
rnacentral:rRNA from 1 species